GGCAGCUUUGUGCCAGCAGAGGAGGCCGAAAUUGGGGCAGUAGACGCCAUCUUCACACGAAUUCAUAGCUGCGAAUCCAUCUCCCUUGGCCUCUCCACCUUCAUGAUCGACCUCAACCAGGUGGCGAAAGCAGUGAACAAUGCCACUGCACAGUCGCUGGUCCUUAUUGAUGAAUUUGGAAAGGGAACCAACACGGUGGAUGGGCUCGCGCUUCUGGCCGCUGUGCUCCGACACUGGCUGGCACGUGGACCCACAUGCCCCCACAUCUUUGUGGCCACCAACUUUCUGAGCCUUGUUCAGCUACAACUGCUGCCACAAGGGCCCCUGGUGCAGUAUUUGACCAUGGAGACCUGUGAGGAUGGCAACGAUCUUGUCUUCUUCUAUCAGGUCUCAGACUUGAUCCGCAGUGGAAAACCCAUCAAGCCUGUCAAGGAUUUGCUAAAGAAGAACCAAAUGGAAAAUUGCCAGACAUUAGUGGAUAAGUUUAUGAAACUGGAUUUGGAAGAUCCUAACCUGGACUUGAACGUUUUCAUGAGCCAGGAAGUGCUGCCUGCUGCCACCAGCAUCCUCUGAGAGUCCUUCCAGUGUCCUCCCCAGCCUCCUGAGACUCCGAGCCAUGGGGAGCCAGGGCUCUGGCGGGGUGCCCUUGGUGCAGGCUCCCUACACAGUCCUGCUGCUGCCGCUGGGGACAAGCCGCCAAGACCCAGGGGC
rnacentral:misc_RNA from 1 species